rnacentral:lncRNA from 1 species
AAUAAAAUGUGUGUUGCAACAUGAGCCACUUAAGCAAUAACUCAUAAAACUGCUGGUUGUAUUCUAGCAUGGAAGGAAAAAGGGCUCAUUAGUCUUUUCCCAACUUAAGGAUCCAUGGACAGAUUCCAAAACAUUAAUCCUUGGGAAGGGCCAGCAAAUGUUAGAUUGGUACUUACAUUUGUGCUACUGUCUCCCAGAUGAAGACUUCACAUAUUCUCAUUACUUUAAAAGGAUUUCCUUAUACCUCCCAAGCUAGCUAAUAGCACGUCCAUCACUCAAGGUGCCAUGGAAUGCUCCAAAGUGCCUUUACCUACAGGCUUUUCCUGUUGGAACAACACUGGCUGACAGACAAGAAGAAGAACGUGUGGCAAUACUCCCAAGUUACAGUGAGAAGUUGAAGCACACUGUGAGUUUUAAGGUUUACAAACAGACUGUAAUGAACAGUCACGGCCACGCUUAUUGAAGCAUUAAUUGAAAAGCUUUUCUUCAGACUAUAUCAAGGGCCCUGUACUCCUAACAUCUGCAUAUUUUUAGCCCUAUGAGAUAUCCUCAGAGUGCUCUCACCAGAAGAUAGCAAUUACUGCUCCCAAUAGAGCCUUCAUCCAGUAGCUGAGGGAAGCAGAAGCAGACACCCACAGCUAAACACUGAGCUGAACUCUGGAAUCCAGUUGCAGAGGAGGAAUGAUGAGCAAAGGUCAAGACCAGGCUGAAGAAACCCACAGAAACAACUGACCUGAACAAGGGGUUGCUCAUGGACCCCCAGACUGAUAGCCGAGAAUCUAACAUAGGACUAUUCCAGACCCCCUGAAGGAGGAAGUCAGUUUGGAGGUCUGGACAAUCUAUGGGGCCUCUGGUAUUAGAUCAGUAUUUACCCUUAGUACACAAAUGAACUUUGGGAGCCCUCUCCACAUAAAGGGAUAUUCUCUCAGCCUAGACACACUGGAGAGGGACUAGACCCUGCUCAAAAUGUUAUGACAGACUUUGAAGAUCCCCAUGGAAAGCCUCACCCUUCCUGGGGAGCAGAAAGUACUAGGGAUGGGGUGGGGUCCAUGUGGGGAA